GUGUAACAACUCACCUGCCGAAUGGACUGGCCCUGAAAAUGGAUGGUGCUCCAGCGCGUGGCUGAGACUAUCCCACCUACUUUUGAGCAAAAGCCCAUGAUGUGUAGGAGGGUAUGGGAGUUUGCAAUGAAUUGCCUGGCAAGAACCUGCAUGGAGCAGCUUCUGGUGCAGAUCUUGGUGGUAGUAGCGGAUAUUCCAGUGAGACCUUUGAAGACUGAGGUGGAGAAGGGUUUCAUGUGAACAGCACUUGGACAUGGGUUAGCCGAACCUGAUGGAGCCAGAUUCUGCCAAUGAGGCCUUGCCUGCUCCUUGACAGAGAAUGGGGUUAACAUUCCUCAGCCAGGACGUGGAUAAUGCAUGGUGACAUAAGCCAACUUGGCAAUACAGGGGGAAGCCUUUGGAAGCGUUAUCUCUUCUUUUUGAUGGUGUAGUGCCCUGGAAUCAGAUUGUUUGGUGGUAGGGAUUGUUGAUGAGCAGAGCACCUUGUUUGCUGAGGUAUCUCAGUGUGCUUCCAGUGGUCCAUGAAAAGCCUGAGGAAGGACUUAUUCACCCCCCUGGUCGUGCCCACAACCGCAUCAGGUCUCCCAGGUUAGCUGCCUCUGGUCUGUGGAAUGAACUGGGUGAGGGAAGUCGGCAAAUUGGAUCUGGAACUUUGGGAAAAGGAUUGGCUCUGAGGGGUGGGUGUGGGGAUCCUUGUGUUGAUGCUUGAACCAAGCAAGAGCUGCUUGAUGCCACUGGUAGACAGCGGAUUUGUGCACGGUGAGAACUGCUGGACAAGGAGUGUUCUGUUGAGCUCAUUUUCACACGAUGAACAACUGGCUUAGAACUGAUUCGGGCAAGGGGAAUCCGACUGUUUAAUUGAAACAAAGCAUUGCGAGGGCCUCAAAGGG
rnacentral:rRNA from 1 species